AUCACUUCUUGGCAUUUUGGCUAAGAUCAAGUGUAGUAUCUGUUCACAUCAGCUUAAUAUUUUUUCAAUAUUUUAAUAAUAACCUAUU
rnacentral:snRNA from 1 species